rnacentral:snRNA from 1 species
AAACUUACCUGGCUGGGGGCGUCUCACGAUCAUUAAGGCGGGACCCCCAUGGUGAGGCCCGCGCAUUGCACUUCCGCCCGGGCUGACCCGUGUGGCAGUCUCGAACUGAGAUUCGCCAACAGCUAAAUUUUUGUGUGUGGGGCUGCGUUCGCGCGGCCCUGA